AACUCGGCAAAAUGACCCCGUAACUUAGGGAUAAGGGGUGCCACCAUCCGGUGGCCGCAGAGAAUAGGCCCAAGCGACUGUUUACCAAAAACAUAGGCUUCUGCUAAGUCGCAAGACGAUGUAUAGGGGCUGACGCCUGCCCGGUGCUGGAAGGUUAAGGGGAUCUGUUAGAGCAAUCGAAGCAGUGAACUUAAGCCCCAGUAAACGGCGGCCGUAACUAUAACG
rnacentral:rRNA from 1 species